GUCGAAGGCUCAAACCUCCCAGCAGGGAAGAGCUUCACAGCCUCUGACCCAUGAAAUAGUGCCACCGAGGGCCCUAAAUAGGGUGAGGGGCUGAGCUGGAGGAGGCCUCAAGGGUGGAGCCCCUCCCUGCAGCGGCACUGUCCUGGGAGCAAGGAGGCAGGGGGUCACCUCUCCUCGGCAGCAGCCCCACACCCCCGCAGCUCAGCUGCAGCUGCUGCCCAGGCAGAUAAACCGUCAGUUUCCUUUGCUCGAAGCUAUUUGCAUGUUUCCUUCCUUAACAGCUUGAGGCAGAGGCCUCCCUCCCACCCCAGCUCUUGGCCUGUGGCCCAAGUGCCCCUUUUUGGGGGUGAGAGGGAACCAAUAUAAUGGCAGUGUCUGGUGGUCUGCCCGGCCACUGGAUGCUUUACAAACAUGACCCAGUAGCAGUCCCAGCUCGAGUUCUCAUGGCCUUUUGAGAGACGACAUUGAUGCUUGUGGAGGUCACAGUUAGGAAAGAGCGGGCUGGGAUUUGAACCCAGGGCUGACCAAUCCCAAGCAUAGCCAAG
rnacentral:lncRNA from 1 species